CCCUUAGAUGAUUUGGGCUGCACGCGCGCUACACUGACCCUAACAAUGAGCAACUGUCUGGCCUGAGAUGGCUGGGUAGCCUUUUCAACCCAUGUCAUGAUUGGGCUAGAUUUUUGUAAGUCUUGAUCUCUAACGAGGAAUCCCUAGUAUGCGUGAAUCAUCAAUCCAUGCAGAUUAUGUCCCUGCCCUUUGUACACACCGCCCGUCGCUGCAACUGAUUGGGUGACCUGGUGAACAUCUUGGACCGGCCCACUCAAUUUCGAGAGGACUGGAAAAGGCCGUAAAUCAGGUACAUCUAGAAAUUGCAAGUCGUAACA
rnacentral:rRNA from 1 species